CCUACGGGAGGCAGCAGUGGGGAAUAUUGCACAAUGGGGGAAACCCUGAUGCAGCGACGCCGCGUGAGUGAAGAAGUAUUUCGGUACGUAAAGCUCUAUCAGCAGGGAAGAAAAUGACGGUACCUGACUAAGAAGCCCCGGCUAACUACGUGCCAGCAGCCGCGGUAAUACGUAGGGGGCAAGCGUUAUCCGGAUUUACUGGGUGUAAAGGGAGCGUAGACGGCAGCGCAAGUCUGGAGUGAAAUCCCAUGGCUUAACCAUGGAACUGCUUUGGAAACUGUGCAGCUGGAGUGCAGGAGAGGUAAGCGGAAUUCCUAGUGUAGCGGUGAAAUGCGUAGAUAUGACGAAGAACCCCGAUUGCGAAGGCAGCUUGCUGCAGCGGAACUGACGCUGAUGCUCGAAAGCGCGGGUAUCGAACAGGAUUAGAUACCCGGGUAGUC
rnacentral:rRNA from 1 species